rnacentral:rRNA from 1 species
ACGGCUCAGUAACACGUAGUCAACCUACCGUAAAGAAUGCGAUAACCUUGGGAAACUGAGGCUAAUAGCGUAUAGGCUAGGGAUUCUGGAAGGAGCCCUAACCCAAAGGUGCGCGAAAUGCAGCGUAACCGCUUUAUGAUGGGACUGCGUCGGAUCAGGCAGAUGGCGGGGUAACGGCCCGCCAUGCCGAAGACGGGUAGGGGCGGUGAGAGCCGUGAGCCCCGAGAUGGGCACUGAGACAAGGGCCCAGGCCCUACGGGGUGCAGCAGGCGCGAAUACUCCGCAAUGCGGGAAACCGCGACGGGGCUACCCCGAGUGCCGGGCGAAGAGCCCGGCUUUUGCCCGGUGUAAGGAGCCGGGCGAAUAAGCGGGGGGUAAGUCUGGUGUCAGCCGCCGCGGUAAUACCAGCCCCGCGAGUGGUCAGGGUGAUUACUGGGCUUAAAGCGCCCGUAGCCGGCCCGGCAAGUCGCUCCUGAAAUCCCCGGGCUCAACCCGGGGGCUGGGGGCGAUACUGCCGGGCUAGGGGGCGGGAGAGGCCGCCGGUACUCCGGGGGUAGGGGCGAAAUCCGAUAACCCCCGGAGGACCACCAGUGGCGAAAGCGGGCGGCCAGAACGCGCCCGACGGUGAGGGGCGAAAGCCGGGGGAGCAAAGGGGAUUAGAUACCCCUGUAGUCCCAGCUGUAAACUAUGCGGGCUAGCUGUUGGGUGGGCUUAGAGCCCGCCCAGUGGCGUAGGGAAGCCGUUAAGCCCGCCGCCUGGGGAGUACGGCCGCAAGGCUGAAACUUAAAGGAAUUGGCGGGGGAG